AGAAUGAACGCUGGCGGCGUGCUUUACACAUGCAAGUCGAGCGAGGCGGCCCGCAAGGGUCAGUCGAGCGGCGAACGGGUGAGUAACGCGUGGAUAACCUGCCCUGAGGUGUGGAACAACCAGGGGAAACUCUGGCUAAUACCGCAUGAUACCGAGAGGUCAAAGGGGGCUCGCAAGAGCUCUCGCCACAGGAGGGGUCCGCGUUCGAUUAGCUAGUUGGUAGGGUAAUGGCCUACCAAGGCGACGAUCGAUAGCCGGCCUGAGAGGGUGAUCGGCCACACUGGAACUGAGACACGGUCCAGACUCCUACGGGAGGCAGCAGUGGGAAUUUGCGCAAUGGGCUAACGCCUGACGCAGCAACGCCGCGUGGAGAUGAAGGUCUGGAUUGUAAACUCCUGUCAGCAAGGAAAAGCAACCUAGACCUACAUACGUCAGGAAGUUGAUGUACCUGACAGAGGAGCCCCGACUAACGUCUGUCG
rnacentral:rRNA from 1 species